CUGGGGGGAACGGUUCCUAGACGCCCUGGUGUAGGAUGGGGCCGUAGUUCCGUUUCUCCCCCUUGUGCCUCGGCGUCCUGGGUGGCUGCAGAGGUCCCUUCACCACUGGCAUCUGAUGCCUCCAUCCUUGAAUAUCUAGAAGGAUAAGGAAGGGAGCAACCCAGACAACCGUCACCAGCCGCAGUAGUUCAUUCUGGGGUGUGCACCCGCCUGGGACCCGAGGACGUUUCCACAAGAGACCAGCAUUGGAAUCUGUGGCCUGAAGAAAGGCACGCCCCUCCCACUAAACCUGGACAUUGGCCCUCUCCUUCCUUCAGAGCGGAACUCUCACCCUCAGCUCUCCUGGGUCUCCAGUUUGCUGACUGCAGAUCUUUGGACUUCACCUCCCCAAUAAAUGUGAG